rnacentral:rRNA from 1 species
GUGCCCAGCAGCCGCGGUUAUUCCGGAGGGGGCAAGCCGUUAAUCGGAAAUUCUGGGGCUAAAGCGCACGCAGGGGGUUUUUUAAGUCAGAUGUGAAAUCCCCGGGCUCAACCUGGGAACUGCAUCUGAUACUGGCAAGCUUGAGUCUCGUAGAGGGGGGUAGAAUUCCAGGUGUAGCGGUGAAAUGCGUAGAGAUCUGGAGGAAUACCGGUGGCGAAGGCGGCCCCCUGGACGAAGACUGACGCUCAGGUGCGAAAGCGUGGGGAGCAAACAGGAUUAGAUACCCUGGUAGUCC